AAAAUACAAAUAGAAAAAAAGAAAAGAAAAAAAGUGACCUUUCAUGUUAAAUGUAUAUUUGAAAGUCCGCUCGUCGGUUUUCGUUAUAGAGGUUGGUCGGGGUUAGGUAGCUCCAUUAUUGGGUACCCAAUAAUUUUUCCCGCUGCAUUGUGACACUGACGCAGCGUCGGUUAUCGUUAUAUCCUCUGAACGCUCGUACUAAUAAUUAACAGCUUUAUUCCGAUCUCUCUCAAACCCUAGUGUCCAACAAACAAAGAUCGAAAUAAUACCAAUUCUUGAACAAUGGCGGUUGCACAACUGGGUGGCGAGGCGCUGUUUGAUGGAUUGACCAGUAGAAGUAGUGGGUGGAACCCAAUUCAGAAGGUGACAAACGCGAUUUGUUCAGGACGAGCACGAGGAGUUUCCAGUUCUGUUAUGUUAAUUAAUAGGAAGAGAUUGAUCCACGGAAAUGUUGUUUGGGAUUGCAAUCUGUUCUCAAACCACACAUCAAUGUCGGUGCAUUCAAUACCGAGUUUUUGCAGAAGAAGGCGUGUUUUUCCCAUGGUCAGUUGUCAGUUGAGUUCUGAUUGUGGCAUUCACUCUUCUGAUUUGCAGCAGAUUUCUGGUACAGAAGAACAUUUGCUCCCAAGUUUUAGCGGAGAAGUUUAUGAGACAGAGAUUCUUCCUACUCAGGAUGUCAAACGUGAGCUUAUAAUGCUUUCUUUGCCUGCAAUUGCUGGACAGGCUAUUGAACCAUUGGCACAACUGAUGGAGACAGCAUAUAUUGGUAGAUUGGGCCCUUUGGAGUUGGCUUCAGCUGGCGUGUCCAUAUCAAUCUUUAACAUUAUAUCAAAGCUAUUUAACAUCCCUCUCCUCAGUGUUGCAACUUCUUUUGUGGCUGAAGAAAUUUCAAGAAAUGCAAGCAGAGUUCCUAUCCCAGAAGAUUGUGAAAGUAUUAAUGGCAAACCUUUCGAUGGGGUAGUUAAAAGGCAGCAACUAUCCUCUGUGUCUACGGCAUUACUUUUAGCAGUUGGCAUUGGCAUCUUUGAAGCUUUAGCCUUGUCUUUGGGAUCUGGACCGUUACUUAACUUGAUGGGCAUAUCAACAUCUUCCUCCAUGCGUCCUCUGGCACAAAGGUUUCUUUCACUUAGGGCCCUCGGUGCACCUGCAGUUGUAGUUUCUUUGGCUCUUCAAGGCAUUUUUCGUGGUUUCAAGGAUACAAAGACUCCUGUUUUUUGUCUAGGUGUAGGUAAUUUUUCAGCUAUAUUUUUGUUUCCCAUACUUAUGUAUUAUUUUAGGAUGGGUGUAACUGGAGCAGCCAUUUCGACUAUUCUAUCUCAAUAUAUUGUUACCUUUUUGAUGAUCUGGUAUCUUAAUAAGAGAGCUGUAUUAUUGCCUCCAAAGUUGGGAUCACUACAAUUUGGUGGUUAUAUGAAAUCUGGCGGUUUUCUUCUUGGGAGAACUCUUGCUGUCCUUUUGACCCUAACACUGGCAACAUCAAUGGCUGCUCGGCAAGGUCCAGUAGCUAUGGCUGCUCAUCAAAUAUGCUUACAAGUAUGGUUGGCUGUGUCCCUUCUCACAGAUGCACUUGGGGCAUCUGGUCAGGCCUUGAUUGCAAGUUCUUUUUCAAAAGGAGAUUACAAGAGUGUGAGGGAAAUUACGUACUUUGUGUUAAAGACGGGAUUAUUCACAGGUGUUUUCUUAGCUGUGCUUUUGGGGGCAUCUUUUGGUUCUUUAGCUACCUUGUUUACUAAGGACACAGAAGUUUUAGGAGUUGUUAGAACUGGGGUAUUGUUUGUCAGUGCCAGUCAACCAAUAAAUGCUCUAGCUUUUGUUUUUGAUGGUCUCCAUUAUGGUGUUUCAGAUUUCUCAUAUGCAGCUCAUUCUAUGAUGGUGGUGGGAGCAAUAUCUUCCGUGUUUCUUCUGUAUGCUCCUUCAUUUUUUGGUCUUUACGGUGUUUGGUCGGGCUUGGUUCUCUUAAUGGGAUUGCGUAUGAUGGCAGGAUAUAUCAGAUUAUUGUCGAAAACUGGUCCAUGGUGGUUUCUUUAUGGGGACUUAAAGAGAACUGAGGGGCAAUGGAUUAAGAGGGUUGGAAAAUUGCAAGGAUGAUUCAAAGAAAACCCAGAUUCUGUAUCUCGGCCUACAAUCCAGACAAUGUUCUAGUAAGAGUACGAUGCCAUGGCUACUCCGUUUGGAUGUUGAUAAGGAAUAAUCUGGUAUCCAUAUUGUGUUCACCAGCACUUUGAGAAUGAGUUGCAAGCCUUGGAACAAAAUUAGCUUGUAAGUUGUAACAUUGAAUUCGAUCUUAUGGGCUAUACAGUAAUUUUUGGUUAUCAGUUUAUUUAUUUAUUUAUUUUUCAGCAUUCUUCUUAUAAUCUGAUUGACGCAUCAGAGUAAGAAAAUGCCUGUAAAUCGAAUAGAUUUUUGUUAAAACAUUUAUUACCAGAGAAGGUUAUUUUGAUCAA